UAUUAACUUUAUUUCAAAAUUAGUGUGUAACUUGAUCUUUAAGUCUUUCAACACCAUGCCAACUUUCACCUUAAUCUAACUAAUAGAUCUUUAGAUAUCAUAGAAAUCCUACCCAACCUCAAACUGCCACCUUCUGAAAUCCUCUUUUGCUAAAAACUAGAUAUCUCUAAACCACACCAUUAGAUUAUCACAAAAUUUUGUAUACACUUAGCACACCCAAUAAUCCAAAUAGUUUCAGGUUUUCAACUAUAGAUGUCACACCAAUUGCACGAACUAGCCAAAAUUGCUAGUCCUAAUUAUAUUAUAUAAAAUCCAAAUCACUAAUAAAAACGUUGACUUUGAACAACAAUUGCUAAGUCUUCGAAAAUUCCCUCAAAACAAUUCUUACGUCUUUGAAAAGAAAUUCAAGCUAGCUUUCAAAUCUUAACCUCGGAUCUUCAAAUGAUUUCCUAUUUUGCCCUAGGCUGUCGUUUUAAUGGCCAGAGGUCUGAUUUCGACCGUGUCUCACAAAUGGUCGACCCCUAAGUAUCAAUCUAACCUAUCCUAAGGUGUUUUUAGC
rnacentral:lncRNA from 1 species